rnacentral:rRNA from 1 species
UGGGGAAUAUUGCACAAUGGGCGCAAGCCUGAUGCAGCCAUGCCGCGUGUAUGAAGAAGGCCUUCGGGUUGUAAAGUACUUUCAGCGGGGAGGAAGGGAGUAAAGUUAAUACCUUUGCUCAUUGACGUUACCCGCAGAAGAAGCACCGGCUAACUCCGUGCCAGCAGCCGCGGUAAUACGGAGGGUGCAAGCGUUAAUCGGAAUUACUGGGCGUAAAGCGCACGCAGGCGGUCUGUCAAGUCGGAUGUGAAAUCCCCGGGCUCAACCUGGGAACUGCAUUCGAAACUGGCAGGCUAGAGUCUCGUAGAGGGGGGUAGAAUUCCAGGUGUAGCGGUGAAAUGCGUAGAGAUCUGGAGGAAUACCGGUGGCGAAGGCGGCCCCCUGGACGAAGACUGACGCUCAGGUGCGAAAGCGUGGGGAGCAAACAGG